AAUGCAGUGAGUAUUGAGGGUGGUAUAUGGAUGAAAUAAAUUACUGGAGAAGCUAAAUAAAAUCAUGGAGCAGCAAUGAAAUCAUGAGCUAAUGUGGGGCUAUAAAGGCUGGCUAAUAGAGCACUGGAAAACAGCCUCAUUGAGGACUAAUGAAUGAAAAAAAAAGGUGGGGGUUGACAUUUUUUCACAGAUCUUUCUCUUCAGAAAACCUCUGUUAAGCAGCAGAAUGCCAGAAAUUAACUUCUUUCUUAACAUGGCUUGGUUUGUGCUUUCAGAACAGGCAGAACCUGUCUGUGUGCCAUUGUAAUUGUAUGGCAGACCUCUUCUGGCUGAAGCACAAAUAAAACAGCCACUUUCCUUUUCCUGGAAUAUAUUGUUGGCAGCACAAUGGUGCUUCUUUACCAGCGUAUAACCCACAACCAUGCAUUUCAGCCAGAGCCUUGUGACAGCACCUCAUGCUUCAUGAUCCUGCUCUUUCACAGCUUGCUCAUUGCAGUUUCAUUAAAAGAGGGAGGUUCCUUUUGCUGCUCCAUUCACCCUCUUUCCCAUAGCUACAUCUGCCUGGCAGGCAGCAGAGCCACAUCCCUGGAAGGUCCUCAGCAAUGGAGCUACAACUGAGAACAGUUUCAGGGCAUAUAAGGCACUAGAGCACCUGCUGAGGCACAGCAAUGAGUUUCAGCAUGUCUCCCCCCAGGGCCACCAGGCUCCUAUAGCAGGGAUUACUGCUAUUAGUUAAAUCCUCUGAGGCUGUAACACAAACCAUUAUGUAAAUAAUCAUACUCAGCAUUCGUUGGCAUGCUGUAUAGAGCACUGUGUUAUGAGAUUUCCAUGUCCUCUUUUCUUUCUUUUCCUUUUUUUUUCCCCUUUCCUAAAUGACAGGUCUGCCGUGCUUAUCCCUGUAGAAUUUAAUACCUGAUAAGCAAGGCAAAAAGGAAAUUUAAAUUGAAUUAACAUAAAAAACCCUCAGUGAAAUUUUUUAGAGUGUCCUAAAAGUGAAUUGAUUUCUUUCUGAUCGUAAUUGGGCAUUCGUACAUGCUUGAGUGCAUACAUACAUACAGAUAUAGCAGGUAGGGAUUUAUAAUGCCUAUGUAUGAAAAUAUACAUAGAUACAGUAUGUGUAUGUAUGCACACAUACACGUGUAUUAAAAAAUAAUCUACUAUAUAUAUACGUAUGUAUGAGUGCUUAAGCCAGCACCUCAUGAGAGAGCUAGAGAUUUUCCUGGCUCUUGUCUACAGUUUUACAUCAUUUAAACUGUGGGAAUUUUUUUCUUUGAUCUAUAAACCAGCAAUUAUACUAAAGGCUUUCAGGUAUCUCUGUUAACCGCAUUUGUUGUUUGCAUUGGGAAAAAGUGAAUGAUAUAAAAUAGCCCCACUUAAGCCUAAUGAAGCAGCUGAAUAGAGGCUGUUACAAUAAUUUAAUGAUGUUUCUCCUUUUAUACAGAUUUGAAUGACUCUACCACUGAAUUCCUGCAGAGCCUCAACCGCACAACACGCACCUCUGAGAGUACAAUCCCUGAGCUCUGUAAGUGUAUACCAUGUAGUCAUGUAGCCACACAAUGAAGCUCUUGUUUUGGAGGACAUGAACACAGGGGUAACUAGGGAAAGUAGAAACCCAUCCUUCAGCAGCAUUGAUCUAAAUACAGGCAGCUUAGCUGUAUUAGGAACAGGAAAAGUGUCUGUCUAUAAAGAGAUUAAAGAUGAUUUUUGUGGUACAGAGUUCUUGAUACAGAAGGCUGAAGCCUCACUCAGUCAUGGCAGAAGAAGACUGGGCUGCUGCUAAGCCACUUAGUAUCGUCAGCUUUUUCAUUAGCAUCAAAGAGGUAAAAGGCUUAUCGCUUUCCCAGACUGUUGCACAGACUGGUUUGCUGGAACAUCUUAAUAGAUAUUUCCUAAUAUCCUUUCUUUCUUCUAAUGUUCUCUAAUUUGAUAAAAACAUAUUUCUUUGCCUAGCAGUCGGUUGUAGGCCAAAAAUGCAAGUGUCCCACUGACUGUGCUUUGAUGUACAGUCCCUGCAAUAUGGUUUAAGCUACUUCAUACACACCAGAAAGCUGUGCUACCAUUCAACAAGACCUGGACAGACUGGAGAGUUGGACAGGGAGGAUCCUGACAGGGUUUGACAAAAGCAAGUGUAGAGUCUUGCACAUGGGGAGGAAUAACCACAUGCAUCAGUACAGGUUAGGGGAUGACCUGUUGGAGAGGAGCUCUGCAGAGAAGGACCUGGGUGUCCUGGUGGACAACAGGUUGGCUGUGAGUGAGCAGCAUGUCUUCUGACCAAGAAUGCCAAUGGUAACCUGGGGUGCAUUGAAAAGAACGUGUCCAGUAGGUGAAGGGAGGUGAUCCUCCCCCUCUACUGUGCCUUGGUGAUGUCACGUUUAGAACACUGUGUCUGGUUCUGGGCUCCUCAGUUCAAAAAAGACAGAGAUUGCCUGGCAGGAGUCCAGGAGAGGGCACCAAAGAUGAUAAAGUGCCUGGAGCAUCUCCUGUAUGAGUGUUGACUAAUAUGAAUGAACAGUUUCCUAUCACCAUGAAACCAACCGAACAACAAAAAAAUUAGAAAAGACACCAAUGCACAAAUCAGUAGCUUACACCAAGAGGAAAUACCUGUCAACAGAGGGGCUGCAGCACACGAUGGCUGGGAGAAGCAGGUGAGCCCAAGCAACACCGGGCAGGCCCAAUGGAUGUGUUCAUAAAGAAGACUGAGAUGCCCUUGGUGAGGUCACAAGAGUCAGCUCUGGGCUCAUUUACAAGUCAUUGGUGGACCGGAGACCUAAGGACUGAAACAAGGACACCAAGGAUAAAUUUAUGUGCAAGUCUUUUUGAAAGAGCUGUGCCUUUGAAACAACAGUUUCUCUUGAGUCUGCUUUACGGAGUGCUACAUUAGGGAAAGGAAUACAACCGUUUUACUUUUCUUUGUUCUUCAUUA